AUUGAACGCUGGCGGCAUGCCUUACACAUGCAAGUCGAACGGCAGCACGGGGGCAACCCUGGUGGCGAGUGGCGAACGGGUGAGUAAUGCAUCGGAACGUGCCCUGAAGUGGGGGAUAACGUAGCGAAAGUUACGCUAAUACCGCAUAUUCUGUGAGCAGGAAAGCAGGGGAUCGCAAGACCUUGCGCUUUAGGAGCGGCCGAUGUCGGAUUAGCUAGUUGGUGGGGUAAGAGCUCACCAAGGCGACGAUCCGUAGCGGGUCUGAGAGGAUGAUCCGCCACCCUGAGACUGAGACACGGCCCAGACUCCUACGGGAGGCAGCAGUGGGGAAUUUUAGACAAUGGGCGCAAGCCUGAUCCAGCCAUGCCGCGUGAGUGAAGAAGGCCUUCGGGUUGUAAAGCUCUUUCGGUGGGGAAGAAAUUGCACUCGUUAAUACCGGGUGUAGAUGACGGUACCCGCAUAAGAAGCACCGGCUAACUACGUGCCAGCCGCCGCCGUAACAC
rnacentral:rRNA from 1 species